rnacentral:tRNA from 1 species
CGGGGUGUAGCGUAGCCCGGUAUCGCGCCAGCCUGGGGGGCUGGAGGUCGUCAGUUCAAAUCUGGCCAUCCCGA